rnacentral:rRNA from 1 species
AGCGAACGCUGGCGGCAGGCCUAACACAUGCAAGUCGAACGAACUCUUCGGAGUUAGUGGCGGACGGGUGAGUAACACGUGGGAACGUGCCUUUUGGUUCGGAAUAACUCAGGGAAACUUGUGCUAAUACCGAAUGUGCCCUUCGGGGGAAAGAUUUAUCGCCAUUAGAGCGGCCCGCGUCUGAUUAGCUAGUUGGUGAGGUAACGGCUCACCAAGGCGACGAUCAGUAGCUGGUCUGAGAGGAUGACCAGCCACACUGGGACUGAGACACGGCCCAGACUCCUACGGGAGGGAGCAGUGGGGAAUCGUGCGAAAUGGGCGAAAGCCUGACGCAGCCAUGCCGCGUGAAUGAUGAAGGUAUUAGGAUUGUAAAAUUCUUUCACCGGGGACGAUAAUGACGGUACCCGGAGAAGAAGCCCCGGCUAACUUCGUG